AUGAACGCUGGCGGCGUGCCUCAUACCUGCCAGUCGAGCGCACAGACGAGGAGCUUGCUCCUCUGACGUUAGCGGCGGACGGGUGAGUAACACGUGGAUAACCUACCUAUAAGACUGGGAUAACUUCGGGAAACCGGAGCUAAUACCGGAUAAUAUAUUGAACCGCAUGGUUCAAUAGUGAAAGACGGUUUUGCUGUCACUUAUAGAUGGAUCCGCGCCGCAUUAGCUAGUUGGUAAGGUAACGGCUUACCAAGGCGACGAUGCGUAGCCGACCUGAGAGGGUGAUCGGCCACACUGGAACUGAGACACGGUCCAGACUCCUACGGGAGGCAGCAGUAGGGAAUCUUCCGCAAUGGGCGAAAGCCUGACGGAGCAACGCCGCGUGAGUGAUGAAGGUCUUCGGAUCGUAAAACUCUGUUAUUAGGGAAGAACAAAUGUGUAAGUAACUAUGCACGUCUUGACGGUACCUAAUCAGAAAGCCACGGCUAACUACGUG
rnacentral:rRNA from 1 species